rnacentral:rRNA from 1 species
UUAAAUUGAAGAGUUUGAUCAUGGCUCAGAUUGAACGCUGGCGGCAGGCCUAACACAUGCAAGUCGAACGGUAACAGGAAACAGCUUGCUGUUUCGCUGACGAGUGGCGGACGGGUGAGUAAUGUCUGGGAAACUGCCUGAUGGAGGGGGAUAACUACUGGAAACGGUAGCUAAUACCGCAUAACGUCGCAAGACCAAAGAGGGGGACCUUCGGGCCUC